rnacentral:rRNA from 1 species
UUCUCUAUACUUUUUUUUUUUGUAUAUAUAUAAAAAAAUUAAUAUAUACAGGUUCCGUAGGUGAACCUGCGGAAGGAUCAUU